rnacentral:rRNA from 1 species
GACGAACGCUGGCGGCGUGCUUAGCACAUGCAAGUCGAACGAUGAAGCCGGAGCUUGCUCUGGUGAAUUAGUGGCGAACUGGUGAGUAACACGUGAGUAACCUGCCCUUGACUCUGGGAUAACUGCUAGAAAUGGUAGCUAAUACCGGAUACGACCCUCGGAGGCAUCUUCAGGGGGUGGAAAGAAUUUCGGUCAAGGAUGGACUCGCGGCCUAUCAGCUAGGUGGCGGGGUAAAGGCUCACCAAGGCGACGACGGGUAGCCGGCCUGAGAGGGUGACCGGCCACACUGGGACUGAGACACGGCCCAGACUCCUACGGGAGGCAGCAGUGGGGAAUAUUGCACAAUGGGCGCAAGCCUGAUGCAGCAACGCCGCGUGAGGGAUGACGGCCUUCGGGUUGUAAACCUCUUUUAGUAGGGAAGAAGCGAAAGUGACGGUACCUGCAGAAAAAGCACCGGCUAACUACGUGCCAGCAGCCGCCGUAA